rnacentral:rRNA from 1 species
GAUGAACGCUGGCGGCGUGCCUAAUACAUGCAAGUCGAGCGAACAGACGAGGAGCUUGCUCCUCUGACGUUAGCGGCGGACGGGUGAGUAACACGUGGAUAACCUACCUAUAAGACUGGGAUAACUUCGGGAAACCGGAGCUAAUACCGGAUAAUAUAUUGAACUGCAUGGUUCAAUAGUGAAAGACGGUUUUGCUGUCACUUAUAGAUGGAUCCGCGCCGCAUUAGCUAGUUGGUAAGGUAACGGCUUACCAAGGCAACGAUGCGUAGCCGACCUGAGAGGGUGAUCGGCCACACUGGAACAGAGACAUGGUCCAGACUCCUACGGGAGGCCGCAGUAGGGAAUCUUCCGCAAUGGGCGAAAGCCUGACGGAGCAACGCCGCGUGAAUGAUGAAGGUCUUCGGAUCGUAAAACUCUGUUAUUAGGGAAGAACAAAUGUGUAAGUAACUAUGCACGUCUUGACGGUACCUAAUCAGAAAGCCACGGCUAACUACGUG